rnacentral:lncRNA from 1 species
UUCUUCCGCCUCAGCCCCCCAGGAGCCCCAUCCUGUAGACAAACCCACUCCUGGGAUCGAGCUUCGCCUGGUUUUUGCACCGGGUGUUAUUCACUGUUCCCUGACUCCGGACAACUCCUACUGAUAAGGGUUCAGUAUGGAGUUCCUCUGGAGUAUGACCUAGAGCUUCCUGGCCCCUCCGACGGGGCUAGCACUCCCCCACC